rnacentral:rRNA from 1 species
UUGAUCCUGGCUCAGGACGAACGCUGGCGGCGUGCUUAACACAUGCAAGUCAAGGGGAAAGUCUCAGCUUGCUGAGAUGAGUAUACUGGCGGAUGGGUGAGUAACACGUAGGUAAUCUGCCCUUAGGACAGGGAUAACAUUGCUAACGCGAUGCUAAUACCUGAUGAAGCAACUGUUGAAUCAGAUGGUUGUUAAAGGCUGGCUUUCAGCUAGCGCCUGAGGAUGAGCCUGCGUCUCAUUAGCUAGUUGGUAGGGUAAUGGCCUACCAAGGCGACGAUGGGUAGCCGGCCUGAGAGGGUGAGCGGCCACACUGGGACUGAGAUACGGCCCAGACUCCUACGGGAGGCAGCAGUGAGGAAUAUUGCGCAAUGGCCGAAAGGUUGACGCAGCGACGCCGCGUGAGGGAUGAAGCUUUUAGGAGUGUAAACCUCUGUUAGGAGGGAAGAAUAAUGGCAAUUCGAACAGGGUUGUCAGAUGACGGUACCUCCAGAGGAAGCCCCGGCUAACUCCGUGCCAGCAGCCGCGGUAAUACGGGGGGGGCUAGCGUUGUCCGGAAUUACUGGGCGUAAAGGGCGCGUAGGCGGGAUAGCAAGUCAGUGGUGCAAACUUGAGGCUUAACUUCAAGCUUGCCAUUGAUACUGUUAUUCUUGAGUUCGGCAGAGGGAAGUGGAAUUCCUGGUGUAGCGGUGAAAUGCGUAGAUAUCAGGAAGAACACCGGUGGCGAAGGCGGCUUCCUGGUCCGAUACUGACGCUGAGGCGCGAAAGCGUGGGGAGCGAACAGGAUUAGAUACCCUGGUAGUCCACGCUGUAAACGAUGGGUACUAAGUGUAGGUUGUAAUGAUCAGCGCCGGAGCAAACGCAUUAAGUAC